rnacentral:rRNA from 1 species
AAUGGGCGAAAGCCUGAUCCAGCAAUGCCGCGUGAGUGAUGAAGGCCUUAGGGUUGUAAAGCUCUUUCGCCUGAGACGAUGAUGACGGUAUCAGGAGAAGAAGCCCCGGCUAAUUCCGUGCCAGCAGCCGCGGUAAUACGGAAGGGGCUAGCGUUGUUCGGAAUUACUGGGCGUAAAGCGCGCGCAGGCGGUCAGACAAGUGAGGCGUGAAAGCCCUGGGCUCAACCUGGGAAUUGCGCUUCAGACUGUUUGACUGGAGUUCGGGAGAGGGUGGUGGAAUUCCCAGUGUAGAGGUGAAAUUCGUAGAUAUUGGGAGGAACACCGGUGGCGAAGGCGGCCGCCUGGCCCGUAACUGACGCUAUAGCGCGAAAGCGUGGGGAGCAAA